rnacentral:rRNA from 1 species
CCUACGGGAGGCAGCAGUGAGGAAUAUUGGUCAAUGGACGGAAGUCUGAACCAGCCAUGCCGCGUGCAGGAAGACGGCUCUAUGAGUUGUAAACUGCUUUUGUACAAGGGUAAACCUGAAUACGUGUAUUCAGCUGAAAGUACUCUACGAAUAAGGAUCGGCUAACUCCGUGCCAGCAGCCGCGGUAAUACGGAGGAUCCCAGCGUUAUCCGGAUUUAUUGGGUUUAAAGGGUGCGUAGGGGGGUUGAUAAGUUAGGGGUGAAAUGUUCGGGCUUCACUCGGGAACUGCCUGUAAAACUGUUGAUCUAGAGUGUAGGUGAGGUAGGCGGAAUGUAUGGUGUAGCGGUGAAAUGCUUAGAGAUCAUACAGAACACCGAUUGCGAAGGCAGCUUACCAAUCUAUAUCUGACGUUGAGGCACGAAAGCGUGGGGAGCAAACAGGAUUAGAUACCCUUGUAGUC